GACAGAGGGUGCAAACGUUGUUCGGAAUUACUGGGCGUAAAGGGCGCGUAGGCGGUUCUGUAAGUCCCGCGUGAAAUCCCCCGGCUCAACUGGGGAACUGCGUGGGAAACUGUGGGGCUAGAGUUCAGGAGAGGGAAGCGGAAUUCCGGGUGUAGCGGUGAAAUGCGUAGAUAUCCGGAGGAACACCGGUGGCGAAGGCGGCUUCCUGGACUGACACUGACGCUGAGGCGCGAAAGCUAGGGGAGCAAACGGG
rnacentral:rRNA from 1 species